rnacentral:rRNA from 1 species
GAUGAACGCUGACAGAAUGCUUAACACAUGCAAGUCGAUGGGGAAGUGGUGCUUGCACCAUGGCAACCAUGGCGGACGGGUGAGUAACGCGUAAGGGACUUACCUGCAGGACUGGGAUAACAGGGGGAAACUCCUGACAAGACCGGAUAAUGUCAUGGAGCUGCAUGGCUUUAUGAUGAAAGGAGACGCCUGCGGAGAGCCUUGCGCCCUAUUAGCUAGUUGGUGAGGUAAUGGCUCACCAAGGCGAAGAUAGGUAGCCGGCCUGAGAGGGUGGACGGCCACAAGGGGACUGAGAUACGGCCCUUACUCCUACGGGAGGCAGCAGUGGGGAAUAUUGGACAAUGGGGGCAACCCUGAUCCAGCAAUUCUGUGUGCACGAAGAAGGUUUUCGGAUUGUAAAGUGCUUUCAGCAGGGAAGAAGUAAGUGACGGUACCUGCAGAAGAAGCGACGGCUAAAUACGUG